AAUCGUCGGGCUUUCCUAACUUAGGAAUAAGGACGGAUCUAAAAGAAUGCCACAAGUCCAAAACCCGUCAGACCAUACGCUCGAAAGACGGCCCGAUUUCACAAGUCCGGGACCAGCAACUCAGGGCAAUUCGGAUCAGAUACGAGCACAGACCCAAUAGGGAAGCAGACCCAGUCACUCACCGACCCUGUUCGCAUGCGUGACAGGGAGAAUUAAAUGGCCGCCUGGCGUGGAGAAGGAGUCUGACACGUCAGUACGUACGGGCCUGAGUGAAGUACGUACGGGUCUGAGUGACAUAGACAGGUUCUUUCAUCAAAUAGAACAUUGAGAGACCCAUUUGAUGGAUCCAUAUAAUGGACCGAGACGAAAACCAAAUCUAUUAUGGAGCAGAUUCAUGGAGUAGCAGGGGAAAAAGAUUUAUCCGUUAGUAUUAAUAGAUAUUUUUAUAUAAAGGGGUAGGAUUUGAGAAGCAAAAUCAAACAAGAAAAGAAAGGGUUUUUGGAAUUGUUUGCAAAUUGCAAAGCCAUUUGGCAUGUGAACAUUACCCAUGAACAUGAAUUUGUGGUUUAUGGUUGGUAGAGUUAUUA